rnacentral:rRNA from 1 species
AGAAUCAACGCUGGCGGCGUGCCUAACACAUGCAAGUCGCACGAGAAAGGGGAGCAAUCCCUGAGUACAGUGGCGCACGGGUGAGUAACACGUGAAUAAUCUACCUCCGAGUGGGGAAUAAACUGAGAGAAAUCUUAGCUAAUACCGCAUAAUACCCACGGGUCAAAGCAGCAAUGCGCUUGGAGAGGAGUUCGCGGCAGAUUAGUUAGUUGGCGGGGUAAUGGCCCACCAAGACGAUGAUCUGUAUCCGGCCUGAGAGGGCGCACGGACACACUGGAACUGAAACACGGUCCAGACUCCUACGGGAGGCAGCAGUGGGGAAUUUUGCGCAAUGGGGGAAACCCUGACGCAGCAACGCCGCGUGGAGGAUGAAGCCCCUUGGGGUGUAAACUCCUUUCGAUCGGGAAGAUAAUGACGGUACCGAUAUAAGAAGCCCGGCUAACUUCGUGCCAGCAGCCGC